UCUAACAUACGUCUUAGUUUGCUUAGAUUCCUAUUCAGACAAGAACACAAAUCCGGAAGAUGAACUAUGGCUCUCUGGCCAGAGCCUGAAUACAGUGAUGGUUUGGAGUUCCGCUCCCACCCGUCUCUCGAUGAACGUCCCGUCUGUGACAUUUCCAGUCCCACACGGUGAAGGCCUGAGAGCGUUCUGACAGAU
rnacentral:snoRNA from 1 species